rnacentral:sRNA from 1 species
UUGAUAGCUCUGGAAAGUGAAGACCUCUAUUUUUAUCCACUGAGAAGGUACAAGCAAAGACAGGGGGUUCUAAAAGCAUCACUUACUUAUUAUUAUAUUGAUGUACCUUAACUUUGACCUGGAAGAGCCACUUUUAGGGAUGAGAGGAUAGUUCAGUCUCCAUGUCCAGUCACUCCUUCUCCUCU